rnacentral:rRNA from 1 species
UACAGAGGGUGCAAGCGUUGUUCGGAAUUAUUGGGCGUAAAGGGUGCGUAGGUGGCGAGGUAAGUCAGGUGUGAAAUCUCGGAGCUCAACUCCGAAACUGCACUUGAUACUGCCCUGCUCGAGUACUGGAGAGGAGAUUGGAAUUUACGGUGUAGCAGUGAAAUGCGUAGAUAUCGUAAGGAAGACCAGUGGCGAAGGCGAAUCUCUGGACAGUUACUGACACUGAGGCACGAAGGCCAGGGGAGCAAACGGG